AGUUGUUGCAGUUAAAAAGCUCGUAGUUGGAUUUCGGUUAAGAGCGACCGGUCCGCCGUUUGGUGUGCACUGGUUGGUUUUAACUUCCUGUAGAGGACGUGCUCUGGGCUUAACGGUCUGGACUCGGAGUCUACGUGGUUACUUUGAAAAAAUUAGAGUGUUCAAAGCGGGCUUACGCUUGAAUAUUUCAGCAUGGAAUAACACUAUAGGACUCCUGUCCUAUUUCGUUGGUCUCGGGACGGGAGUAAUGAU
rnacentral:rRNA from 1 species